rnacentral:rRNA from 1 species
ACAGCAGUAGCCACGGGAAUACGAAGGGUGCAAGCGUUACUCGGAAUUACUGGGCGUAAAGCGCGCGUAGGUGGUUUGUUAAGUUGGAUGUGAAAUCCCCGGGCUCAACCUGGGAACUGCAUUCAAAACUGACUGACUAGAGUAUGGUAGAGGGUGGUGGAAUUUCCUGUGUAGCGGUGAAAUGCGUAGAUAUAGGAAGGAACACCAGUGGCGAAAGCGGCUCACUGGACCAUUACUGACGCUGAGGCGCGAAAGCGUGGGGAGCAAACAGGAUUAGAUACCCGCGUAGUCCCUGUCUCUUAUAC